rnacentral:rRNA from 1 species
GACGAGGGGUCCUAGCGUUGUUCGGAAUCAUUGGGCGUAAAGCGUAGGUAGGUGGCUAUCUAAGUCAGGUGUGAAAUCCCCGGGCUCAACCCGGGAAGUGCAUUUGAUACUGGAUAGCUUGAGUAUGGGAGAGGAUAGUGGAAUUCCUGGUGUAGUGGUGAAAUACGUAGAUAUCAGGAGGAACACCGGUGGCGAAGGCGGCUAUCUGGCCCUAUACUGACACUGAGCUACGAAAGCGUGGGGAUCAAACAGG